AAAUUGGAACGGAACAGUUUCCAAACAUUGAAGGAGGUUUUUCCAAACUCAUCCCUAACUGAACAUGAGGAUGAAUUGGCAUUAGGUGAACACAGUCAGUUAUUCAGUCUACCACCUGACAGUGUGUUAAAGUUAAAUUCUGUUAGUGCUGCACUAAAAGAAUUGUUAGUAAUAAGUCCAUGCAGCGAAGGAAGUGAACAAUUGUGGAACUGUAUUUGGGCUGAAAAUGAGUUUGGUACGGAAACCCAGAAAUGGCACGAGUUCAACAUAAACAUGAAUUAGAAUUUUAGUGGGGGAUCAAGUCAAGUCUGGAAGUGUUACAGGAUGGAAGAGUGAGCCUACAGUUGAAAAACACUGAAAGUGCAUUACCAUUAAGGUAUGAGGUAAAGUAAUAGAGUAUGCAAAUUGUCUAAUGAGAAGUACCAUCUUGUGUGAAUGAAUCCUGUGUAACAGCAAUCCUUUAUAGUUCUGUCACAGCUAGAAGCCUCAAAUAAUUCUGCUUCUCUUGCUAAAGAACAACUUGUCCUUUACGUUCAGAGUG